rnacentral:rRNA from 1 species
UCUAGCGGAAACGAUUAUCUGACCCUUCGGGUAAAUUAAUGGGCGUCCACCGGCGGACGGGUGAGUAAUGCCUGGGAAAUUGCCCUGAUGUGGGGGAUAACCAUUGGAAACGAUGGCUAAUACCGCAUAAUAGCUUCGGCUCAAAGAGGGGGACCUUCGGGCCUCUCGCGUCAGGAUAUGCCCAGGUGGGAUUAGCUAGUUGGUGAGGUAAGGGCUCACCAAGGCAACGAUCCCUAGCUGGUCUGAGAGGAUGAUCAGCCACACUGGAACUGAGACACGGUCCAGACUCCUACGGGAGGCAGCAGUGGGGAAUAUUGCACAAUGGGCGCAAGCCUGAUGCAGCCAUGCCGCGUGUAUGAAGAAGGCCUUCGGGUUGUAAAGUACUUUCAGCAGUGAGGAAGGUUCAUGCGUUAAUAGCGUAUGGAUUUGACGUUAGCUGCAGAAGAAGCACCGGCUAACUCCGUGCCAGCAGCCGCGGUAAUACGGAGGGUGCGAGCGUUAAUCGGAAUUACUGGGCGUAAAGCGCAUGCAGGUGGUUUGUUAAGUCAGAUGUGAAAGCCCGGGGCUCAACCUCGGAAUUGCAUUUGAAACUGGCAGACUAGAGUACUGUAGAGGGGGGUAGAAUUUCACGUGUAGCGGUGAAAUGCGUAGAGAUCUGAAGGAAUACCGGUGGCGAAUGCGGCCCCCCUGGACAGAUACUGACACUCAGAUGCUAAAGCGUGGGGGAGCACACAGGAUUAGAUACCCUGGUAGUCCACGCCCUAAACGAUGUCUACCUGGAGGUUGUGGCCCCCCACCCGUGGCUUUUAGAGCUAGCGCGUUAAAUACACCUCCCAGGGAGUACGGUCGGCAGUAUUAAAAUUAAAUAGAAUAGACGGGGGCGCGCACAUGCGCUGGAGCAUGUGAUUUAAUUCGAUGGCACUCCGAAGAACCUUCGCUACUCGUGACAGACAUAGAACGGUGCUGCAUAUGCAUCGUAGCCUCAAGCACUCUCAAUCUAGGUGCUGA